rnacentral:rRNA from 1 species
GGAGUUAGCCGGUGCUUCUUCUGUGAGUGAUGUCCUUCCUGCCGGCUAUUAACCCGCAGGCCUUCUUCCUCACUGAAAGUGCUUUACAACCCGAAGGCCUUCUUCACACACGCGGCAUGGCUGGAUCAGGGUUGCCCCCAUUGUCCAAUAUUCCCCACUGCUGCCUCCCGUAGGAGUCUGGGCCGUGUCUCAGUCCCAGUGUGGCUGAUCAUCCUCUCAGACCAGCUACGGAUCGUCGCCUUGGUGAGCCGUUACCUCACCAACCAGCUAAUCCGACAUAGGCUCAUCCGAUAGCGCGAGGCCCGAAGGUCCCCCGCUUUCCCCCGUAGGGCCGUAUGCGGUAUUAGCCUGGGUUUCCCCAGGGUUAUCCCCCACUACCCGGGCAGAUUCCUAUGCAUUACUCACCCGUCCGCCGCUCGCCACCAGGGAGCAAGCUCCCCGUGCUGCCGCUCGACUUGCAUGUGUUAGGCCUGCCGCCAGCGUUCAAUCUGAGCCAGAAUCGAACCCUGA